GGGUGAGCCCAGCCACUCACCUUCCAGGAAGCGUGGAUUCCUGGAAGUGAGGGGAACCGCCGUCAUUUCGCAGGCAGCGGCACGGACCUGGGACCUGAAGUGUAGCCCGGUGAUUAUUAGCAAGACAGAACUUUUCACCUGCCUGGGAGUGAGCAGUUCAGGUACUGCAAGUAAACCAAACCCACAGCAUCAUCCUCUCCUGUCUGUACCUCCAUGAACUGAAUGAAAGCGACACAAAAACA